UACGGAGGGUGCAAGCGUUAUCCGGAUUCACUGGGUUUAAAGGGUGCGUAGGCGGGCUGUUAAGUCAGUGGUGAAAUCUUCAAGCUUAACUUGGAACUGCCGUUGAUACUAUCAGUCUUGAAUAACGUUGAGGUGAGCGGAAUAUGUCAUGUAGCGGUGAAAUGCUUAGAUAUGACAUAGAACACCGAUUGCGAAGGCAGCUCACUAAACGCUCAUUG
rnacentral:rRNA from 1 species